GACAGGGGGUGCAAACGUUGCUCGGAAUCACUGGGCGUAAAGCGCACGUAGGCGGUCCCGUAAGUCAGAUGUGAAAGCCCUCGGCUCACCCGAGGAACUGCGUCUGAUACUGCGGGGCUUGAGGACGGGAGGGGAGAGUGGAAUUCCUGGUGGAGCGGUGAAAUGCGUAGAUAUCAGGAGGAACACCGGUGGCGAAAGCGACUCUCUGGUCCGUUCCUGACGCUGAGGUGCGAGAGCUAGGGGAGCAAACGGG
rnacentral:rRNA from 1 species